UACGAAGGGGGCUAGCGUUGUUCGGAAUUACUGGGCGUAAAGCGCGCGCAGGCGGCCAAUCAAGUCAGGGGUGAAAGCCCGGAGCUCAACUCCGGAAUUGCCUUUGAAACUGAUCGGCUUGAGUACGGGAGAGGUGAGUGGAAUUCCCAGUGUAGAGGUGAAAUUCGUAGAUAUUCGGAAGAACACCAGUGGCGAAGGCGGCUCACUGGUCCGGUACUGACGCUGAGGUGCGAAAGCGUGGGGAGCAAACAGGG
rnacentral:rRNA from 1 species